GACGAACGCUGGCGGCGUGCCUAAUACAUGCAAGUAGAACGCUGAAGAGAGGAGCUUGCUCUUCUUGGAUGAGUUGCGAACGGAUGAGUAACGCGUAGGUAACCUGCCUGGUAGCGGGGGAUAACUAUUGGAAACGAUAGCUAAUACCGCAUGAUAUUAAUUGUCGCAUGAUAAUUAAUUGAAAGAUGCAAUUGCAUCACUACCAGAUGGACCUGCGUUGUAUUAGCUAGUUGGUGAGGUAACGGCUCACCAAGGCGACGAUACAUAGCCGACCUGAGAGGGUGAUCGGCCACACUGGGACUGAGACACGGCCCAGACUCCUACGGGAGGCAGCAGUAGGGAAUCUUCGGCAAUGGGGGGAACCCUGACCGAGCAACGCCGCGUGAGUGAAGAAGGUUUUCGGAUCGUAAAGCUCUGUUGUAAGAGAAGAACGGGUGUGAGAGUGGAAAGUUCACACUGUGACGGUAUCUUACCAGAAAGGGACGGCUAACUACGUGCCAGCAGCCGCCGUAAAAC
rnacentral:rRNA from 1 species